rnacentral:rRNA from 1 species
ACCUGCGGAGGGAUCAUUGCUGGAACGCGCCCUAGGCGCACCCAGAAACCCUUUGUGAACUUAUACCUUUUGUUGCCUCGGCGCAUGCUGGCCUCUAGUAGGCCCCUCACCCCGGUGAGGAGACGGCACGCCGGCGGCCAAGUUAACUCUUGUUUUUACACUGAAACUCUGAGAAAAAACACAAAUGAAUCAAAACUUUCAACAACGGAUCUCUUGGUUCUGGCAUCGAUGAAGAACGCAGCGAAAUGCGAUAAGUAAUGUGAAUUGCAGAAUUCAGUGAAUCAUCGAAUCUUUGAACGCACAUUGCGCCCUCUGGUAUUCCGGAGGGCAUGCCUGUUCGAGCGUCAUUUCAACCCUCAAGCAUUGCUUGGUGUUGGGGCACUGCCUGUAAAAGGGCAGGCCCUGAAAUCUAGUGGCGAGCUCGCCAGGACCCCGAGCGUAGUAGUUAAACCCUCGCUCUGGAAGGCCCUGGCGGUGCCCUGCCGUUAAACCCCCAACUUUUGAAAAUUUGACCUCGGAUCAGGUAGGAAUACCCGCUGAACUUAAGCAUAUCAAUAAGCGGAGG